rnacentral:sRNA from 1 species
GCCUCCGCCUGUGUCUUCUGCAGUGAUUUUAACCAAGGCCGUUGGUGGAAAUGAGGACCCUCCUUGCCUGGUGUCAUUUCUUGAGCUCUCCUGGGAGGAGAUUAGUCUAAAACAACAAAGUAGCCAGAUGUCUGGUUCUGAGAGAGUCCCAGAGGCCAGGCUAUGGUAGGCAACAGAAACCGCGUGGGGCUGAAGAUCAAAGAUACCUGAGAAUUACUUAUGGGCACAUAGUAUGUGUCAUUCCCAUUAUUAACAGUCUGAGAAAAUUUGUUUCCCUAAUUAACCCUUUUGUUGGAAUAACCUUAAAUUUUAGUGAGUAUAUUUCUGUUUUGAUAUGUUUUCUUUUAUGUAGUAUUAAGUGCACACACCAAAAAAGAGAAAUGAAAAGGUACUCUCAUGCUUGAUUGAAAUCUCUAAGCCGUUAUUCUUCUCCCAAAUAGAUACGCUAUCAAGUGUGUUAUCAUUUAUCAUGAAAUGA